ACCGGCAGGGGGGCGGGGCCUGGCAGAGGCAUGUGGCGGGGCCGGCGCCGCCGCGCAGGGUUCUGCAGCCCUAGCUCCGCUUCCCCAGGCAGCCGCGCCGGAGUCGGAGCGGGGGCCGGGCGCGCGGCGUGGCUGCCGCUGGCCGGAUAUGUCGCUUAGGACCCGAAGGUAAUUGGCAAAUGCUUCUCCUGCACAACCAGCUCUAGGGGAGAAUAGUGUGAUUCCAAGGCCAGCCUUCAAGAUGUGGACUGCUGUUGUUUUUUUCCUGUUGAUUUCCCUGGGCAUAUCUGAAAACAGAAUUUCCACCUUAAAGGAGAGAGGCACUCGGGUGAUACGAAUAAACCGGCUGAGCAGUGAAAAGCAUUGCAGACGCGCUUGUAGAGGCCUAUCGCUUUCAGGUAAUCGUUACUGCAACUGGUCAGUGUUCUAUCAGAAUCGCUGUGUCCUUUUACACUGUUGCCAUCUGUAUGUGUGUCAGAAUGCCAGCACUCAGGACAUUACAGAUCUACUUGGAGAACUUGUCCUUAAGAAAAGAGAAGCACAGCCACCUGGCCGAACCGGCAGGCAAGUGGACUCUGACACAAGCCAAGAAAACCAGACAGAGAGUCGAGCAACGGUGCCACCUUCACCAUCAGCUCAAGUAAGGACCGUAAUGACAGGUCCCAGAACGACCCCACCAGCAGUAAUUAAAGCCACCACCACCCAAUCCACCAAGGGAACCCCAGGUGAGAUAAGUACAACUGCUCCAUCAGCCACAGGUAAUGAAACUGCAGAGCUCCUUGGGGUUCUGACAGGUAAUUCUGCUAUCCUUACCAGCACCAUGUCUCCAGCUGCCUCUUCUCUCGUUUCAAAUAAUGAUACUUCUAGCUCCACGCCCACAGCCACCUUUGAAAAGACAAGUAAGAAGGUGUUCACUUCAGGAACUACAAAGGCACCAGCGCCCUUGUCUCAAACUACUAUUGCGACUUCUGAAUCGAAAGUGAGGACUGUAGUGUCCCAGACAGAGCAUUCCAGUGUAACCGUUGCCUCCCGGUUGCCUUGGGAUGCCACACGCAGCACUCCCACGCCUAGCAUAGUUAAUAGUGUGGGGGUUGGCCUACUGACAACAAGCUUAUCUAUAGCGACAACCACCGACAGCCUACCGGACUUGAAAACACAUUCACCAGAUUCUGCAGUCACCAAUCCAUCUUCAGAGAGUGCCAGUCCCAUAAUGCCAACAAUCAAAGCUACUUCAUCAGCUCUUGAGCCCCUGACAACUACAGUGGACAGGCCCCAGAAUAUCACGGGUAAGCCAUCUCCUACUAUCCCAGUCCGAGCAAAGACUUCAGCAACUAACCAGCCAAUGACAAAGGCCACCAGUGGGCCUGGGGUGAUAACAACAUAUAGUACUUCCUUGACUAAGCUUACCACCAUGGGUCCAACAAAUGCACCCAAAACAACAGCCUUGGGCAUUGGCAGAGGUCAGCAAAACACAGACUAUGACAAUCUGCUGAUUGCCACUGGGCCUCUGACUCGGUACUUGGUGGACACCAGUUCACUCCUGGCAGUACUUCUAUUUGGUAUCAUUUUUUUCAUAACCGUCUUAGUUCUAUUUGCCAUGCAGGCCUAUGAAAGCUAUAAGAAAAAGGACUAUACGCAAGUGGACUACUUAAUCAAUGGAAUGUAUGCGGACUCAGAAAUGUGAGAGGCAGGGGUGCUGAGAGAGGCUUAAAUACGUAUCAAGGAGAUGGAAAGCCUGUGACUUGUUCUUUCCCUUGUUUGCUUAUAAGACAAACUGAAAGUGCUUCCAAAUUACUUCUGGUGCAAUUUAGGAGAAAUGCCAUGUAUUCUAUAAAUUUUUUUAUCAACUGUAACAGGUUGCCAUAAGAGCGGUAGUGAUUUCUAGAACUCUUCCAACUGUGCUUCUGCCAAUGAUUUUUGCAUUGUAAAAUGAAGCUACUGGGAUGAGCCAUCGCCCUCUGAGAAUGAUCCUUCGGGUUCAAAACACAUCAGCACAUACAAUCAGGCUAGAAGGGAUCAUCAUGAUGAUCUAGUCUGAUCUACUGUGUAACACAAGUGCGCACACAAAGCCCAAAACAUUCGGUAAUUUCUGCAUGGAGCCCAUAACUUCUGUUUCAGCUAUAGAAUAUCUUUUGGACAUCCCGUCUUGAUUUAAAGCAAUGGCAAAUUGACUACACCUCUUAGCACGAGAAACAACAGAGACUUAAGCAGAAGAAUUAGUAUGUUGCCAGGACAAACGUCAGGUCCUACAGCACUUGAGGUUCCAGUGCUCCAGCAACUGUGUUUAGCUGGAAGCAAAGUAGCAGUGGGCUUGUUGACUUGAAAGCCUGGCAGCUAAGGUUGGAAAAGACUCAGGAAUCUCCAUACCUUAUUGUAACUGAAUGUGCUACCUUUAACUGGCUGUACCUGGAACCCUUAACAAGGCUUAUACUGGCUCGGGAGAAGAGGGUGGAGGAUGAGACCUGAUGAGGAUGGCUGUUGCUAACAGAUGAGGGAAGAUCAGUCUCCUCAGCCCAUCACACAGUUUUACCUGGAGCUCCCAGCCAAAGAUGGGAGGGGAAAUUGAGACAAAGUGGCUUACCCAAGGUCGCACAGCCAGUAAUUGGCAGCUAGGAAUAGAAUCCAGAUGUCUCAACCCUGCCUGUUGGACCAUAUAGCAUCUAAAUGGUGAUGCCUUCACAAAGAACAUGGAAACUGCUUGGAAGAAGCUUGGCUUGAAGACACUUUUUAUAAAAUAUUUAUAUUAAAAUAAAUAUAUUCCUACCUGUGUUUCACUGGGGUUUCAGGUGAUGACUAGAGCUAGUGAAAAAUUGUCCAACAGGACAUGUUGAUUCAUCAGGAUCAAAAUGUUCUGCGGGCACUUGGUGAAAGCUGAAAGUUUUACUGAAUUCUGUUGUAAGUUUUGAUGGAAAGCAGGCAGGUUGGCCAACUCGCCUGUGUGGUCCCCUGCCCACUGGGAGAACUCUCCAGGCUCCCACCUUCCCAGCAGCCACAGCCAUAACCAGCGUGAGCAGGACAGUCCCCCAGGAUGCAAAGCCGUGAGGGCGGAAAAAGGGAGUGGAGAAAUGAAGGGGAAAAUGGUAGGGGGCACAAAUAUGGCUGCUCCCCUCGGGUGCUAAAAUGCCCUAGUUAUGGCUAUGCCAGCAGCCCUGGGAAUCCAAUGUUUAAGGAAAUGGCUUGACUAUUAUAAGCCUCAUUAACAUGAUCUUCAUAUUUCUCCUGAAUCACAUGCAGCCCUGGUUUCUAUUUAUAGCAUAACAUAGAACUGUUAAGUUGAUCUGAUAACAUUUGUUAAAACCACAUGUAUUUGAACCAGAGUGGGAACUGGAGCUCUGGUAGGCGGCUUUCCGCUUGGGGAUCACCCAGAAGCAGUAUCCAGUGGGACAUUCCAUGCAUUUCGUGAGCUGGAAACCACAAUGCUUCCAUCAAUGUGUGUGGGACCGAAGAGCGAGAAGUUCUCUUCAGAUGUUCGCAGUGGCUGCAUGUUUGGACUGAGGGGCUUUUGUGAAAUGUCAGGCUGCUACAGAAAGCUCUGUUAGAUUAUGCAACAGUGUCCUGAGGGAAGUGGUGGAAACCUCAUGGGUCUUUGAAAGCUAGAUAAAACACAUUAUAAGGACUGUACUGCCUUACAGGGGGAUGGAUUGGAAUGACCUGAGGACCUUUAAACUUCUAUGAAAGGAAACUGUGACAAAAUGAACAGGAAAGAGCUGUUUGUAAGGUU